rnacentral:rRNA from 1 species
GAUAAACGCUGGCGGCGUGCAUAACACAUUCAAGUCGAACGAACUGAUACGGAAGCUUGCUUUUGUUGAAAGUUAGUGGCGGACGGGUGAGUAACGCGUGAGCAACUUGCCUAUCUGUGGGGAAUAACACAUGGAAACGUGUGCUAAUACCGCAUAACACAACCUGAUCGCAUGUUUAGGUUGUCAAAGAUUUAUCGCAGAUAGAUGGGCUCGCGUCUGAUUAGCUGGUUGGUGAGGUAACGGCUCACCAAGGCGACGAUCAGUAGCCGGACUGAGAGGGUGAUCGGCCACAUUGGGACUGAGAUACGGCCCAGACUCCUACGGGAGGCAGCAGUGGGGAAUAUUGGGCAAUGGGGGAAACCCUGACCCAGCAACGCCGCGUGAAGGAAGAAGGCCUUCGGGUUGUAACGUUCUUUACCUAGGGUACGAAGAACGUAGACGGUACCUGGAGAAAAGACAACGGCUAACUACGUGCCAGCAGCCGCGGU